rnacentral:rRNA from 1 species
UACGGGGGGGGCAAGCGUUGUUCGGAAUUACUGGGCGUAAAGGGCUCGUAGGCGGCCAACUAAGUCAGACGUGAAACCCCUCGGCUUAACCGGGGAACUGCGUCUGACACUGGAUGGCUUGAAUCCGGGAGAGGGAUGCGGAAUUCCAGGUGUAGCGGUGAAAUGCGUAGAGAUCGGGAAGAACAUCGGUGGCGAAAGCGCUCUACUGGACCGCAACUGACACUCAGGGACGAAAGCUAGGGGAGCGAAUGGG